AAAAAAAAAAAAAACUGUAUGUUAUACUUUAUACAAACUCCAUGAGAAAACUCUUUCAUUUCAACAACAAUAAUUACAAAGAAAGUAAACAUGAAAAACGAAAAUACUGAAACCAGCAAUGACAGCCAAGUUCCCAAAAACCAUAAAGAACAAUAACCAGAUGAAACUGCAAGAACAUACGAUCAAAGAGCCACUGAAAAAAAAAAUGUAUAUUUAUAUAGAUAGAUAACAAUCUCGAAGUUUCCCAAAACACCAAAAUUGUUUAAUAUUGAUCAUUAGCUAAUGGUAUUAAAAAAUCAUUGUUGUAACUAAUAAGAAAAUAAUUAAACGCAAUCACAACCCAGGAACAGAGAAGAAGCUCAAACCAUCCCAACCCGAAAUCCCAACUUAACUAAACCAAUUUACCGCCAAUUUAAGUCAAAAUCAGUCGUGAUUGCAUUCACAAGAGAACCCAAAAUUAAAACGGAAAAAGAAAAAGCAGCCAAAUUCUUACAACCCAG
rnacentral:misc_RNA from 1 species